UGAGGAAUAUUGGUCAAUGGAGGAAACUCUGAACCAGCAAAGUCGCGUGAAGGAUGACGGUCCUAUGGAUUGUAAACUUCUUUAGUAGGCGAGUAAGGAUAGGUACGUGUACCUAUUAGAAAGUAGCCUAAGAAUAAGUAUCGGCUAACUCCGUGCCAGCAGCCGCGGUAAUACGGAGGAUACGAGCGUUAUCCGGAUUUAUUGGGUUUAAAGGGUGCGUAGGUGGCUGAUUAAGUCAGUGGUGAAAAGCUAUGGCUCAACCAUAGUCUUGCCGUUGAUACUGGUUAGCUUGAGUGUAGAUGAUGUAGGCGGAACGUGUAGUGUAGCGGUGAAAUGCAUAGAUAUUACGCAGAACUCCGAUUGCGAAGGCAGCUUACAAAACUACUACUGACACUGAGGCACGAAAGCGUGGGUAUCAAACAGG
rnacentral:rRNA from 1 species